UCGAUCUCAAAUCAGGUAGGACUA
rnacentral:rRNA from 1 species